UACAGAGGGGGCAAGCGUUGUUCGGAAUUACUGGGCGUAAAGGGCGCGUAGGCGGCCUGCUAAGUCGAACGUGAAAUCCCCGGGCUCAACCCGGGAACUGCGUCCGAUACUGGCAGGCUUGAAUCCGGGAGAGGGAUGCAGAAUUCCAGGUGUAGCGGUGAAAUGCGUAGAUAUCUGGAGGAACACCGGUGGCGAAGGCGGCAUCCUGGACCGGCAUUGACGCUGAGGCGCGAAAGCCAGGGGAGCAAACGGG
rnacentral:rRNA from 1 species